rfam:Strongylocentrotus purpuratus Contig74375_fixed, whole genome shotgun sequence.
GCGAUUGCUCAGUCGGUAGAGCAGUGGACUCGUAAUCCAGUGACCCGGGUUCGAAACCAUGUCGAUGCG